rnacentral:rRNA from 1 species
UGCGUAGGUGGGCUAGUAAGUCAGUGGUGAAAUCUCCGGGCUUAACCCGGAAACUGCCAUUGAUACUAUUAGUCUUGAAUACCAUGGAGGUGAGCGGAAUAUGUCAUGUAGCGGUGAAAUGCUUAGAUAUGACAUAGAACACCAAUUGCGAAGGCAGCUCGCUACGCGGUUAUUGACACUGAGGCACGAAAGCGUGGGGAUCAAACAGGAUUAGAUACCCUGGUAGUCCACGCCCUAAACGAUGGAUACUCGACAUCAGCGAUACACUGUUGGUGUCUGAGCGAAAGCAUUAAGUAUCCCACCUGGGAAGUACGACCGCAAGGUUGAA